rnacentral:rRNA from 1 species
GUCUACAGCCAUACCACCCUGAACAUGCCCGAUCUCGUCUGAUCUCAGAAGCUAAGCAAUGUCGGGUCUGGUUAGUACUUGGAUGGGAGGCUGCCUGGGAAUACCGGGUGCUGUAGGCU